GACGAACGCUGGCGGCGUGCCUAACACAUGCAAGUCGAACGGACAGGCCCUGCUUUUGUGGGGUGCACGAGUGGCGAACGGGUGAGUAACACGUGAGUAACCUGCCCUUGACUUUGGGAUAACUUCAGGAAACUGGGGCUAAUACCGGAUAGGAGCUCCUGCUGCAUGGUGGGGGUUGGAAAGUUUCGGCGGUUGGGGAUGGACUCGCGGCUUAUCAGCUUGUUGGUGGGGUAGGGGCUUACCAAGGCUUUGACGGGUAGCCGGCCUGAGAGGGUGACCGGCCACAUUGGGACUGAGAUACGGCCCAGAAUCCUACGGGAGGCAGCAGUGGGGAAUAUUGCACAGUGGGCGGAAGCCUGAUGCAGCAGCGCCGCGUGCGGGAUGACGGCCUUCGGGUUGUAAACCACUUUCGCCUGUGACGAAGCGUGAGUGACGGUAAUGGGUAAAGAAGCACCGGCUAACUACGUG
rnacentral:rRNA from 1 species